rnacentral:rRNA from 1 species
CCAGACUCCUACGGGAGGCAGCAGUGGGGGAUAUUGCACAAUGGGCGAAAGCCUGAUGCAGCGACGCCGCGUGAGGGAAGACGGUUUUCGGAUUGUAAACCUCUGUCGAGGGGGACGAAGGAAGUGACGGUACCCCUUGAGGAAGCCACGGCUAACUACGUGCCAGCAGCCGCGGUAAUACGUAGGUGGCAAGCGUUGUCCGGAAUUACUGGGUGUAAAGGGAGCGUAGGCGGGAAUGCAAGUUGAAUGUUUAAACUAUGGGCUCAACCCAUAGUCGCGUUCAAAACUGCAUUUCUUGAGUGGAGUAGAGGCAGGCGGAAUUCCUAGUGUAGCGGUGAAAUGCGUAGAUAUUAGGAGGAACACCAGUGGCGAAGGCGGCCUGCUGGGCUCUAACUGACGCUGAGGCUCGAAAGCGUGGGUAGCAAACAGGAUUAGAUACCCGUGUAAG